AAAUCGGUGGCUAAAAAUACCGAUUACCGAUUGUUAUGAAAACUUGAAAUCGGCCCUAAUUAAUCAGCCAUUCCGAUUAAUCGGUCGACCUCUAGUCACAACCCUACCAGACAGCAUGGUAGGGUGACUUCAAACCUUGAGCUGUAAAGUGGGGAUGCAAACUAGUCACAAUCUGAAUACAAAAGCAGGUGUAUUAACAUUGUAACAAUACAGCAAGCAGAAAAAUACUGUAAGCAGUUUUGCUUAAUUUAACGAAAAUGUUUAAUGCAUAUUAUAGUACAAUGAUAAUUUGUCUUAUAAGUGUUUUAACUUACAGAUCGCCAUAUAGGAUUAUGCGAAACAUAUUCACGAAGCUAUUUCUCGUUAACUACUAAAACUAUCUAACCGAGUACAGCAAGCAAACAACUUGGGUCGUGGCAGAAAGGACGACGAGAAUGGUUUUAUUAUUCAAAUACAAUUACUUACUUAAAGGGGUGGUUCAUCUAAAAAUACUUUUAACCUCAUUAGAGCAUUAGCCUUUACCAGAGACAGUUUUUAGGUUAGUUGGAUCAGUAUUUAGACUUCUGCAAUUUUAUUUCAAAAUGCGACAUUUACGAUUUUAUCUAGAAUGUGUAAAAAAUAUCCUCACUUUAUGCAACAAAUAUUGUCUCGUCAUUGAAUUGCCCAAAACCUAUGUUUUGCUUUAAAACAUGUUACAAAAAUCGACCUACUAGAGCUAAUGUUUUCUUCAGAUUUGUGUCAUCUGGUUGAUACUCUUCCUCUUGAUUCAAAGAUUUGUAAUUAAGUUCUGACUCUGACCCAAAUCGCGGCUCGGCGCAGAUUAAUCAUAAAUGACUUCCUGGAUUUUAAUGAAAAAAUUACUGAUAUCAUUUGGAAAUAUUAGGCUAGGUAAAUAUUUUAGCAAAGCAAUCUUAUCGAGAUUUUAACUACAAGGGCUAUUGCAGUGAUUGGAGGCACCGGUUGUGUCUUUCGAAGGUAUUUAUGACAACUUUGACAUUAAAUGGGGUUUCUAUGGGAGAGGGAAAUGUAGAAUUCGCUGAUGAGCUAAACUAAAUACUGAUCCAACCAACAUAAAAACUGUCUCUGGUUAAGGCUAAUGCCUAGGAAAAUGUUCUAGCCAGAUGAAAUUUAUUUUUCGAUGAACCACCCCUUUAACAUAGUUGAUGAAAACAUUAAACAAGGCAAUAUAACAGUUUACAUUUCAAGAUAAUACUUUAUGAACAAAGCAUUUAUCUAAACAUGAAUCUGAGAGAUAGGCAGAGAACGUAGCUUGACUCAAAUCUAAUAUACUGUACUUAGAAAGGGGGGAGAAAGAUGGAAGGGGAGAGUGACAAAGCGAGGGAGACAGAGAGAAAGAAGGAGAUAAGAGUUGUAUAGUUGCCACUAGGGCUCAGGGAUAGGACUACAUCCAUCGUCAAUUGCAACGACGUGACAAUGUCAAAAACAAUGUUUUGUUAAAUUUGUAGUCAACUCGAGAAAUUCUGUUUUCAGAAACUUUUUACAAUAGCGGAUAAUGUUAAUAAUCUAUUCAUAUUUGUGUUCUGCAAAGUCCUAAUAUUGGUAAUAAUAAUGGUUUUGUUCGAAUACUCGGCACACCCCUAUUAAAGACAUACUGGGGACGAUUGCGCUAACAAGGCAAGGGGUUUUUGGAACAGGUGCACACAAACUGGAACUCAGAGCAAAUCCUAAUAUUAAAAUACUGUGUUGAUUUCAGAUAUAAUUUUUUAAAAAAUUCUAAAAUGCAAAAAACUAAGUUUCUGUCCAUCACAAAGGAAGUUUGAAUGCAUUGUUGAUAACUACUACAGUACUGUACAAAGAGCACAUUUUGACCACAGCUUCUAAAGGCCGAUGUUUUACAGGUGGAACUGGGUGUUAAACUCCAGGCGAACAUUAUCACUCGACUGAGCAAAGAACCAUCAAAGUGCAUUUCUGAGCUCAUGACAGCUCUAUUUCCCAGAGACGUGAUGGCCGUCUCUUGACAGAAAAAAAACUGAAUGCAUUCCGGGACCCGGAGGCAAAGAAACAGCUGUGCCCAACCAAAGUGUGCCAUUUGCACCUUUUUAAUUUGGCGAAACCUGAUGGAGGAGAAGGAUGUCUUAAAAAUUAUUUGAUCGAAGCUUAACAAUGAGCCAGAAUUGCUUAAGAAGUCCAAGAUUUAGGUUUAAAACUGCUUUUUUUUUACUCAAAGGGAGUAACUUGGAGGCUAAGGCCUAACUAUUUGGUUUGUUAACUCAGUGAAAAAGUAUUCAAGUUGAUCAUUUUUCAAAUAUGAUGUCCUCGUAUCUGUCAACUUCUUAACGUACACAGAACAUUUUUUUUUUCAAAAGUGUACUGUAGUUAUUGCUAUAGUAUAAGAAGAUGUUAUAGUAUUCCUUUAAGGUUACCAUAGUUAUUCUAUAUUAUGUCCGAAUUUACCAAAAGAAUACUAUAGAAGUUUUUCUGUGAUAUUUACAUAAUAUUGUUCUAUACUAAUCUUAUAGGAUCACAGUAAUAUUGCUAUAGUUAUUGCUAUAUUUUACUAUAAGAUUACUAUGGUUAUUCUAUAGUAUGUCUGAAUUUACCACAAGAAUACUGUAUGUUUUUUAGUGACAUUUGUAUAAUACUCUUUUAUAGUAAUCCUAUAGUGCUUUUUUGUAAGGGAUAGUCCAUGCCCGAUGAAUUGAGGUUGUUUAGAGGGCAAAGGGGGUCAAACUCAUGAGGUAUUCCUAAUGUUUUGUAAACUGAAUGUGUAUUUUCGUCUCCAAUGUUCAUAGGCAAAUUAUUACAUUUGUACAAUGA